rnacentral:misc_RNA from 1 species
AAAUCUCUAGGCUCCAUCUGAUGGUGCCUGUCUUGGGCCUCGCCCUGUGGCGUCGUCUGAAUGUCAUCGGUCUAACCUGUGGACGAGUCCCGGUAGGGCAGACCACAGGGGGGACCCUAAGCCUCUCUGA